rnacentral:rRNA from 1 species
AUUGAACGCUGGCGGCAGGCCUAACACAUGCAAGUCGGGCGGGGUUUUCGGACCUAGCGGCGGACGGGUGAGUAAUGCGUAGGAAGCUACCCGAUAGAGGGGGAUACCAGUUGGAAACGACUGUUAAUACCGCAUAAUGUCUACGGACCAAAGUGUGGGACCUUCGGGCCACAUGCUAUCGGAUGCGCCUACGUGGGAUUAGCUAGUUGGUGAGGUAAUGGCUCACCAAGGCGACGAUCCCUAGCUGGUUUGAGAGGAUGAUCAGCCACACUGGAGCUGAGACACGGUCCAGACUCCUACGGGAGGCAGCAGUGGGGAAUAUUGGACAAUGGGCGCAAGCCUGAUCCAGCCAUGCCGCGUGUGUGAAGAAGGCCUUCGGGUUGUAAAGCACUUUCAGUAGGGAGGAAGCGUUGUGUGUUAAUAGUACACAGCGUUGACGUUACCUACAGAAGAAGCACCGGCUAACUCUGUGCCAGCCGCCGCGGUAAAAC